ensembl:lncRNA
CAAGAUUACAAAGCCUCUAAAAAAAAAAAAAGGAAUUCAAAGCUAUAGCACUGGAGUAGCAGAUCAAGCUGCUCUGACAUCCAUUUCAGCCUAAAUAGGCAUCCAGGUUUAGACUAGAACUUUGUGUCCUCUGCCCCUUCACUGCCUUCUCUCUUCCAGAGCAGUGUCAGCGCCUGUGUACUUCAGGAGCCUUGCAGCAUUCCUUCUGCAUGGGCCAGCCCUGUUCCCCAGCGUUGCUGAACAGCCUGACUUACAAGGAGGCAAUGGGAAGGGGUCUCAUUAACAUCACUACGAGUCCAGCGUUUGACUCCUUUGGCACACCAUUAGAAAUGUGUGCAUCAGUCUACAGGCUUCCUAAGCCCCUAAUCUACUACCUUAUUACCUUGGUGACUUUAAGCAGUCUACUGCGAGCUUCCAAGUCCUUGUGUGAUUAGCACAUGCCAUUCCUGUUACUCCCAAGAGGAACGUGGUCCCUUCUGUGAUGGUGUAUGAUAUCUUUCAUUACCAAAUCGGUGUAAAACGGAGCUCAGUAAGAGCUCUGGGAACAAAGGCAGAGGAUGAGGGCACACUGGAACACAGCAGAACACCACCUUGUAAACCAUUUAUUUCCUACUGAGUAACUUGCAAAAUAGCAAAUUGUCAAGGCUUUUUCUUCUGCUUUAGUCAAAAGGCAGACUCCUAACAGCUUGGGUUCCUUCACACUGUGCUGGGUACUGUUCCAAUACUGAUGCACUGGAAACAUGCCAUCUGCUGAGCAGCAGACCAUGGGCUCCAUUCAGCCCGAUCACUCAGGAGCAGACACGGGGGAGGUGGGUGGAAAAUAACCAGUCCCGGUCUCCUCUGGAGCUGUUGGCUGACAAGAAGGGCUGUCAUUCCAAUGGUAUUGCAAAUUUACACAGAAAAGACAAGACAGUGGACAAUAAGCUACCUACUUUAGCCAUGUUUUCAAGGUGAUAUUUUAAGAAAUAAGAAAGAUGCCUCACAGUCCCCUUGAAGUAUAUCUGUGUCAGCUUCUGUCAAACACCAUCAGAGCUGGCAGCCCUACAUCUGGCAGCUCUCCGGCUCCACAGAACUGGGGGCCUUAUGAGAUAAGGCAGCCCAGGAGAUCAGAGAACUGGCCGGUAAGCAUGACUGGUGACUUCCCUGUGAGCCGGUAUGAAGUGGCUGCAGAGCUGCUCCACGUUACUCAGUGUGCCCUGUGCCAGGACUGUGCCAGAAAUCCAUCAGCUCAUCCUCAACAGAACCUGCUGUGCCAAGGCAGUCUGCCCUCAUCCAUCCAAGCAUGUCCCCCAUAGAGGAGAACUUUUACAAAGCUGAAUCACAGAUGCAGAAGAUACAUGGAACAUCCCAUGGACGAUGGCAAAUGCUUUGAUUCUCCUACCAGCUGAACAGAGAAGCGGCCUCACCCACACAGACAAAUAUCUGGUAGCUCACAAGCCCCAGAACACCCUGGACAAGACGAGUCACUUUCCCAUAAAAGGGCUGCCAGGCAGGCAGGUCUCUGCCUGCAUUUGCAGUAAGAGCAGCCUGGAAACGAUGCAGGCAGAGUUCGGUGGAGUUACGCCAGCUUACACUGCUAAGCAUCUAACCUAUAAAUCUUAUUAGUAAGUUUAAAUAAGUCUAAGAGGAAAUGAUGUUAAAUUUACCAUAGACCUCAUUCUUCUUGGAGUUGUGUCAAUACUCUCCCUGCUGGGCUGAACCUGUCACCCAAGGCUGCCCAUCUUUGAGGCUUGAGCCAAUAGCAAUCACUGGCAAAACUAACUGUCCGCAAUAUUUCCUCUAACACCGCAUGUCUUUGUAAGGCUUUCUUUUCCUUUUUCUCUUCUCCUCUUCUCCUUUGAUUCUUUUCCAAAUUUUUCUGAUCGGUUAUUAACUAAGUGCCAGCUCAUCGUGGUUUUGUAAUCAGAUUAUCUGGAAAUACCUGCCUAAAGCAGUCAACACUGAUUAAAAGGAAGGGUGGCCAUUGUGUUACCUUUAAUACGAACGACUCAGGUCUCGAGGCUGAGACUGAAUUAUAGGAGAGCUCAACUUAACAAGGGAUUGAAUUAAAUUAGGAACACCUGAUGGCAACAUUUCCUACGUCUCCAAACUGCCAAAAGAAAACCGUGGCGUGGUUGUGAAUUUAUGCUAUCCCCUGAAAAGGAAGGAAGAACAGCCUGGUUGAACUGCUUCUGGAAAGCGGGCCUUAUCCCCAAUCUAUUUCGAUAAGUGCUAAAAAAUCCAUAGCAAUUUUGAAGGGGGAUAUAAUAUAAUAGAAAAGAUCCUAUCUGAGUAACAGCCGUGAGGUCACUGCUAAUUGCUUAUUUUAUACAGCUAGGCUGCAUUUCUGAUGCUCUAUUUGUUAGCCCACACCCAACUGUGUACACAAUUGCUAUGAUAGAGAAUGGGAGACAUGGGUGCACAGAGCUUCUGAAAGCAAAGUCACACCGAGGUUGCAGGCAAACGUUAUAUAGUCUUCCAGUUAUUAAGAUUGUUUUUUAAUAAUUGUAUUUUUCCACACUUCCCAACAUGUUUUAAUGGAGAGUAUGAUACGAUAACACUUGACUAGUUUCUAACUUAGAUGCAUUUACCAGUUCUAAAUAGCACAGGAGAUUAAUAUUUCAGGCUUGCUCUGUAAAGUGAGCAGUCGCUGGGCUCAGAGCGUUGUCUAGACUGAACUGAUCUCCACAGUUUUAAAAGUGGCCUCUGUGAUCCUACUUAUCCUUCUAAUCAUCAGCAAUCCCAUUGCUGUUCCUGCCCCGAGUCCGACUCAUCACAGGAGUGCCUGUGUUGCACUGCAUUUCAGUCACUUCAGUGAGAUCCUGAACUGCACUUGAGAAAUGCUUCAGCUGACUUCAAUUGAUUGUUUAUUAUCUCCUGACAGUAAGUGCUAAUUACACAGCUGAGAAAAUUGGUUUGUCCUUUUAGCCGUUCUUUCUCCCAGAAAGGUAGAAAAAGGAAUUUUUGAUGACUUAAAUUUCUUUUGUACUCUGGCUUAAUGUGCGCAGAGAAAAGAUUAUUCCUUCCAGUAUGGCUAAAUGUGAGAGCCUGCCUUACAAAAGCAAUAAGCAAAUCAAGAGGAAAAUCUUGGCAUCCUGAAGUUGUGACCUAAUUCUGUCCUUCACUGUUUCCCCCUCUCUCCAAAACAUCCUAAGUUCAAAAUAGCUGCCCUUAUUCAGAACAGUUCUCCUUUCUGCUCAAAUAGGUCACUUAGAGAAUGCAGGCAGUAACUGCACAUAGCCCUCUGAAACACACAGCUGCCACGCUGCCCACCCGGGCAGUGCUCAGACAGCCUCUGGAAUGCUUUACGUCUCUGGAAAAGGCCUUUCUUCUGGUAAACACAGCUGCAUUUUAUAUCAAACAGAGUGAUGUUUCCCUGUUGAUUUGAAAAAUCGAUUGCAAUUACAGUCAGGAAAAAUAUCCAGGUUCAGUGUGCAAUUCAUUGGCCCCCAGCCACAGAGAAAUCCCCGUCGUGCAUAUAGCAGAUCUCUGGCUUGGCAGUUCACGUGCAAAAUGUGGCUGCACUUUGGGUGGAGAUGUGCAUUUUACAAAGUGCAUCUUUUUUUCUUAAGGGGUUUGAGUGUAGAUUAAGAGUUCCACAGAAGGCCGCAAAGCUAUGCCAAUUCAGAAUGCCUCAGAGCCCCGUUUGUGGAAUGCAGACGAAGAAUAUGAAAGGAACAGAUGUAACAUAUUCUUAGAAUAUCCUCACAGCCUCCUCAAAGACUUCACAGACACACAGGUUGACAUACGUGCCACACCACGCUGUCCCAUCAGGAAGCAAAGGGAUGUGGACACUGUGAAAGGGAGAUUUUACACAAGACAGUAUGGAAUGUGUGAUGUCUGACCUCAUCCC